UUGCGGACAUAUCACGUUAAAACACAGGUUCUCGUACGAUCACUGAAGUUAAGCACAGUCGAACCUGGUCAGUACCUAGUUGGGUGACAGCUUGGAAAUACCAGGUGCUGCAA